rnacentral:rRNA from 1 species
UACGUAGGGACCGAGCGUUGUCCGGAAUUAUUGGGCGUAAAGAGCUCGUAGGCGGCCUGUUGCGUCCGCUGUGAAAGCCCGGGGCUUAACCCCGGGUCGGCAGUGGAUACGGGCAGGCUAGAGGUAGGUAGGGGAGAAUGGAAUUCCCGGUGUAGCGGUGAAAUGCGCAGAUAUCGGGAGGAACACCGGUGGCGAAGGCGGUUCUCUGGGCCUUACCUGACGCUGAGGAGCGAAAGCGUGGGGAGCGAACAGG